AACGAACGCUGGCGGCAUGCCUAACACAUGCAAGUCGAACGAGACCUUCGGGUCUAGUGGCGCACGGGUGCGUAACGCGUGGGAACCUGCCCUUAGGUUCGGAAUAACUCCCCGACAGGGGUGCUAAUACGGGAAAAUGUCUUCGGACCACAGAUUUAUCGCCUUUGGAUGGGCCCGCGUUGGAUUAGCUCGUUGGUGUGGUAAAAGCCUACCAAGGCGACGAUCCAUAGCUGGUCUGAGAGGCUGAUCAGCCACACUGGGACUAAGACACGGCCCAGACUCCUACGGGAGGCAGCAGUGGGGAAUAUUGGACAACCGGCGAGAGCCUGAUCCAGCAAUGCCGCGUGAGUGAUGAAGGCCUUAGGGUUGUAAAGCUCUUUUACCCGGGAUGAUAAUGACAGUACCCGGAGAAUAAGCUCCGGCUAACUCCGUG
rnacentral:rRNA from 1 species